GUGGGGAAUCUUAGACAAUGGGCGCAAGCCUGAUCUAGCCAUGCCGCGUGAGCGAUGAAGGCCUUAGGGUUGUAAAGCUCUUUCAGAUGGGAAGAUAAUGACGGUACCAUCAGAAGAAGCCCCGGCUAACUCCGUGCCAGCAGCCGCGGUAAUACGGAGGGGGCUAGCGUUGUUCGGAAUUACUGGGCGUAAAGCGCGCGUAGGCGGAUUGGAAAGUUGGGGGUGAAAUCCCGGGGCUCAACCUCGGAACUGCCUUCAAAACUCCCAGUCUUGAGUUCGAGAGAGGUGAGUGGAAUUCCGAGUGUAGAGGUGAAAUUCGUAGAUAUUCGGAGGAACACCAGUGGCGAAGGCGGCUCACUGGCUCGAUACUGACGCUGAGGUGCGAAAGCGUGGGGAGCAAACAGGAUUAGAAACCCGUGUAGUCC
rnacentral:rRNA from 1 species